rnacentral:tRNA from 1 species
GCAUUGGUGGUUCAGUGGUAGAAUUCUCGCCUGCCACGCUGGAGGCCCGGGUCCGAUUCCCGGCCAAUGCA